AGAGUUUGAUCCUGGCUCAGGACGAACGCUGGCGGCGUGCUUAACACAUGCAAGUCGAGCGAUGAAGUUCCUUCGGGAAUGGAUUAGCGGCGGACGGGUGAGUAACACGUGGGUAACCUGCCUUAUAGUCGGGGAAUAACCUUUCGAAAGGAAGAUUAAUACCCCAUAAGAUUGUAAUUUCGCAUGAAACAGCGAUUAAAGGAGCAAUUCGCUAUAAUAUGGACCCGCGGCGCAUUACCUAUUAGGUGAGGUAACGGCUCACCAAGGCGACGAUGCGUAACCGACCUGAGAGGGUGAUCGGCCACAUUGGGACUGAGACACGGCCCAAACUCCUACGGGAGGCAACAGUGGGGAAUAUUGCACAAUGGGGGAAACCCUGAUGCAGCAACGCCGCGUGAGUGAUGACGGUCUACGGAUUGUAAAGCUCUGUCUUUAUGGACGAUAAUGACGGUACCUAAGGACGAAGCCACGGCUAACUACGUGCCAUCAGACGCGGUAAUACGUAAGUGGCAAGCGUUGUCCGGAUUUACUGGGCGUGUAGGGAGCGUAUGCGGACUUAUAAGUGGGAUGUGAAAUACUCGGGCUCAACCUGGGGGCUGCAUACCAGACUGGAAGUCUACACUACACGAGGGGACAACGGAAUCCCUAUUGUAUCGGUGAAAUGCGUAGAGAUUACGAGUACACCAGUGGACAACGCGGACUUCUGGACUGUAACUGACGCUGAGGCUCGAAAGCGUGGGGAGCACACAGGAUUAGAUACCUGGUAGUCCACGCCGUAAACGAUGAAUACUAGGUGUAGGGGUUGUCAUGACCUCUGUGCCGCCGGUAACGCAUUAAGUAUUCCGCUUGGGAAGUACGGUCGCAAGAUUAAAAUUCAAAGGAAUUGACGGGGGCCCGCACAAGCAGCGGAGCAUGUGGUUUAAUUAGAAGCAAGCGCGAAGCACCUUACCUAGACUUGACAUCUCGUGCAUUACUCUUAAUCGAGGAAGUUCCUUCGGGAACAGGAAGACAGGUGGUGCAUGGUUGUCGUCAGCUCGUGUCGUGAGAUGUUGGGUUAAGUCCCGCGACGAGCGCAACCCUUAUUGUUAGUUGUUACCAUUAAGUUGAGCAUUCUAGCGAGACUGCCCGGCUUAACCGGGAGGAAGGUGGGGAUGACGUCAAAUCAUCAUGCCCCUUAUGUCUAGGGCUACACACGUGUUACAAUGGAUGGCACAAAGAGAUGUUAAUCCGUGAGGUGGAGCUAUACUAUAAACCCGUUCUCAGUUCGGAUUGUAGGCUGAAACUCGCCUACAUGAAGCUGGAGUUGUUAGUAAUCGCGAAUCAGAAUGUCGCGGUGAAUACGUUC
rnacentral:rRNA from 1 species